rnacentral:lncRNA from 1 species
AUGCUAUACACUGUUACAUGGACUGAGAGAAGUCGCACAUGUGCCAAGCCCAGCACUAAGCAAGUAGAGGUCUCUCAAGUCGAGACGAUCCGUUCUCUCGCUGGAUUUUCAUCAGGAAGACUUUCCACAAUACAUUCUCUGUGCUAUCAUCCAUUUCACAUGGGGAAUUCACUCACCUCAUCCUAACAUCCAGCAAAAUAUCAACACAUUACAGGUCAGUUCAACUUAGCUUCUUAUGUAAAUAUCAAAAGCUCAAAAAUCUCAAAUACCAUUAACUCAAUCAAAAAAUAAUUAUGUUCUCACUGUGAUUCAUCCUAGAUCAAAAUGUCUCUCCAUCUUGGAACCUUUAAAAACUAGAGGAACAAAGUAUCCUGCUG